rnacentral:rRNA from 1 species
GCGAACGCUGGCGGCGUGCCUAAUACAUGCAAGUCGAGCGAAGUUUUUCUGGUGCUUGCACUAGAAAAACUUAGCGGCGAACGGGUGAGUAACACGUAAAGAACUGCCUCAUAAUGGGACAACUAUUGAAACGAUAGCUAAUCCGGAUACAGUAUUUCUGCAUGAGAGAUAUUUAAAAGUUGGUUAUGCUACACUAUGAGAUGGCUUUGCGGUGCAUUAGCUAGUUGGUGGGGUAAAGGCCCACCAAGGCGACGAUGCAUAGCCGACCUGAGAGGGUGAUCGGCCACACUGGGACUGAGACACGGCCCAGACUCCUACGGAGCAGCAGUAGGGAAUCUUCCGCAAUGGGCGAAAGCCUGACGGAGCAACGCCGCGUGAGUGAAGAAGGAUUUCGGUUCGUAAAGCUCUGUUGUUAGGGAAGAAUGGAUAUGUAGUAACUAUACAUGUAAGAGACGGUACCUAACCAGAAAGCCACGGCUA